ACAGCAGUAGCCGCGGUAAUACGAAGGGUGCAAGCGUUAAUCGGAAUUACUGGGCGUAAAGCGUGCGUAGGCGGUUUGUUAAGUCUGUUGUGAAAUCCCCGGGCUCAACCUGGGAAUGGCAAUGGAUACUGGCAAGCUAGAGUGUGUCAGAGGAUGGUGGAAUUCCCGGUGUAGCGGUGAAAUGCGUAGAGAUCGGGAGGAGCAUCAGUGGCGAAGGCGGCCAUCUGGGACAACACUGACGCUGAGGCACGAAAGCGUGGGGAGCAAACAGGAUUAGAUACCCCGGUAGUCCCUGUCUCUUAUAC
rnacentral:rRNA from 1 species